AAAAGAGGAAAAGGUGAAGAUCAGGAGGCACAACAUUCCAAGGAUAUAAAAGCAAAUGUGAAAAUGCCAUAAAGUGGACAUCGGCUUGGCCUGUUGAAGGCUGAAAAAUCCAAGCAAAGUCUAUGUUGCCUUCACCAGUGUUCAGAUACACCUGGAAGCUGCUUUCUGAAAAGAUGGAGACCAUUUUUACCCAACAGCAUCAGCUCAGAUUCUUGUGAUUAUAACACAGCAUGAUUGCUGCUUCAUGCCUUCUGCCAUGUGAG
rnacentral:lncRNA from 1 species